rnacentral:lncRNA from 1 species
UGUCUCACAUCAGACCAACAGCUUCUAACUUGAAAUGUGUCAAGCAAGACAAGUCCCUCGCAACAAUAUAAACAGAUACUGCCCAUAUUGGUGUUGAGUUGUUUGUUGCAGAAGCCAUUAGAAGAGCUAUAUGAACCUCAUCAGACUAAUGGGAACGCCUGUGAAGAAGCAAUGUUACAGGAAGGACCAAAGGGAAAAAGCAAGCAAAAUAAAGGUGUUUGUGCGGAGCUCCACUGUGCCUUAGGAAUGAGAUGUCUACUAGCACUUGAAAUUUCUUGGCUUUCAUCUGAAAAUUUCUCCAGUCUUCAGGAAUGGUUGCUGUAGCUACACUUACUGUCUUGUUCUUGUCUUCCACAAUUUAUAAAGAAUCAUCGGGAGUCGCACAGAACACGCCGAAUCAGC